AUGGUGCCCCAUCGGGUACAGCCCCCCCAGCGACUGACCAGCUGUUGAGCUCGAAUACCGUUCUUCCCGCCGACGAGCAGAUCCCGACGACGACCACACCCUCUCCCUUCGCCGGAUCGCCAAUCCCUCGGCCGGCGAAGCCGUCGGAGAUUCGUGGGAAACCCUAGACCGAAUUCCGGAGCUUCCGAAUAGCCGGAGCAUCGCCCGCUUCCGAUGGCAAACCAGCAAACGCCGUCGAGGCCGUGGAUCAUGGACGCAGCGCCGUACUUGGUGGUGCUCCUUAUAGCCGCUCACGUCUUCGCUUUGGUAUACUGGAUAUACAGAUUGGCUACUGAGAAGCAGCCUCAGAGAAGAAAGGCUCACUGAAGAACUUUCCCAUUUGCUAUUGAUGCGCCGAAGGAAGGUUACAGCUCAAAGAUGGUCCAUCUCGGGGAAAAUUCAGAAGAUGGAUUGCUAGAUAUACGGGGCGAGAACUUUUCACACAUGUUUUCUAACUCCAUACCUUCUCAUUACGUUCAAGGUCAUUGCUCUUACUUUGUACAGAGUACUUUGGACUUCCAGAUUCCUUUCUUGUGUUAGAUGAUGGUUACUGAGUGGCUGGUCUAUUGGAUGCAAUUAGUCUGGUGUCAUUCUGUUGACCUUUGCAGCCAGCCAACCGGUUGACAUUGCAUACUUUAUUUGUGAGUGAAGAAGGAAGUUUUCUUUCAGGGUA